CCCACAUUCCAGUUACUGUAUAUGACGGCAGUUUCCAGCUUUUAUCUCAGAAAGAUACCAACACAUGAAGAGAAAAGCAACAGAAAUGUGAUCCUUUCUAACUGCCCUGAAACUCUGAACAGAAAAAGAGUAACCAGAAAGAUUCUUAUACAUGAUUAUGUUUAUUUUCUUCUGUCCUAUAUACAGGAGAGUCAACUCAUAUAAUGAGCAGCUUUUAUAAGGAGUGAGGUGGAUUUGGAGGUGACACCAGUAUGUCAUAUAUUAGCAUAAAAAGCAAGUUACAAGACAA